GUUGGCUUAGAAGCAGCCAUACAUUUAAAGAGUGCGUAAUAGCUCACUGGUCGAGCGGUCCUGCGCCGAAAAUGUCCGGGGCUAAAACCUGACACCGAAGCCAUGGGUUCUGCGUAAAGCAGAGCGGUAGGGGAGCAUCGUAUACGGGCCGAAGCCCGACCGGAAGGCAGGGUGGACUGUAUACGAGGGAGAAUGCCGGCAUGAGUAGCGAGAGGGUGGUGAGAAUCCACCCCGUCGAAAGCCUAAGGAUUCCUGAGGAAGGUUCGUCCGCUCAGGGUAAGUCGGGACCUAAGCUGAGGGCGAAAGCCGUAGGCGAUGGGCAAUCGGUUGAAAAUCCGAUACCACCUGAUACCGACUGAGAGAGGCAGUGACACAGGAGGGCAGGCAGAGCGAGCUGAUGGUAGAGCUCGUCCAAGCGGCGAGGCAGGCAGGUGAGUGAAGUACCACCUGCCGGUAAUGCUGAGCCGUGACGGGGACCGAAGUUAAAGUAGGGAAGCUGCCGGGCUCACACUGGCGAGAAAAGCUGCUAUCGAGGUAUCAGGUGCCCGUACCGCAAACCGACACAGGUAGGCGAGGAGAGGAUCCUAAGACGAGCGGGGAAACCCUUGUCAAGGAACUCGGCAAAUUGACCCCGUAACUUAGGGAGAAGGGGUGCCUGCGAGAGCAGGUCGCAGAGAACAGGCCCAAGCGACUGUUUAACAAAAACACAGGUCUCUGCUAACUCGAGAGAGGAAGUAUAGGGGCUGACGCCUGCCCAGUGCUGGAAGGUUAAGGGGAAGUGUUAGCGAAAGCGAAGCACAGAACCGAAGCCCCAGUGAACGGCGGCCGUAACUAUAACGGUCCUAAGGUAGCGAAAUUCCUUGUCGGGUAAGUUCCGACCCGCACGAAAGGCGUAACGAUUUGGGCACUGUCUCGACAACGCGCCCGGUGAAAUUGAAGUACUGGUAAAGAUGCCAGUUACCCGCGACAGGACGGAAAGACCCCGUGGAGCUUUACUGUAGCUUGAUACUGGGAUUCGGUGCUGCAUGUACAGGAUAGGAGGGAGGCAGAGAAUCAUGGACGCCAGUCUGUGAGGAGCCGCUGUUGGGAUACCUCUCUUGUAGUACUGAAUUUCUAACCUGAAUCCGUGAACCGGAUUAGGGACACUGUCAGGCAGGCAGUUUGACUGGGGCGGUCGCCUCCGAAAGAGUAACGGAGGUGCUCGAAGGUAACCUCAGAAUGGUUGGAAAUCAUUCGCAGAGUGCAAAGGCAGAAGGUUGCUUAACUGUGACAGAGACAUCUGGAGCAGGUACGAAAGUAGGACUUAGUGAUCCGGUGGUAAGAAAGUGGGAUUGCCAUCGCUCAACGGAUAAAAGCUACCCCGGGGAUAACAGGCUGAUCUCCCCCAAGAGUCCACAUCGACGGGGAGGUUUGGCACCUCGAUGUCGGCUCGUCGCAUCCUGGGGCCGGAGCAGGUCCCAAGGGUUGGGCUGUUCGCCCAUUAAAGCGGCACGUGAGCUGGGUUCAGAACGUCGAGAGACAGUUCGGUCCCUAUCCGUCGCGGGCGUAGGAAAUUUGAGAGGAGCCGUUCCUAGUACGAGAGGACCGGAAUGGACGUACCGCUGGUGAACCAGUUGUCACGCCAGUGGCACAGCUGGGUAGCUAAGUACGGAAGGGAUAAACGCUGAAGGCAUCUAAGCGUGAAGCCCCCCUCAAGAUAAGAUUUC
rnacentral:rRNA from 1 species